rnacentral:rRNA from 1 species
UUGAUGUGUAGGAUAGGUGGGAGGCUUUGAAGUGUGGACGCCAGUCUGCAUGGAGCCGACCUUGAAAUACCACCCUUUAAUGUUUGAUGUUCUAACGUUGACCCGUAAUCCGGGUUGCGGACAGUGUCUGGUGGGUAGUUUGACUGGGGCGGUCUCCUCCUAAAGAGUAACGGAGGAGCACGAAGGUUGGCUAAUCCUGGUCGGACAUCAGGAGGUUAGUGCAAUGGCAUAAGCCAGCUUGACUGCGAGCGUGACGGCGCGAGCAGGUGCGAAAGCAGGUCAUAGUGAUCCGGUGGUUCUGAAUGGAAGGGCCAUCGCUCAACGGAUAAAAGGUACUCCGGGGAUAACAGGCUGAUACCGCCCAAGAGUUCAUAUCGACGGCGGUGUUUGGCACCUCGAUGUCGGCUCAUCACAUCCUGGGGCUGAAGUAGGUCCCAAGGGUAUGGCUGUUCGCCAUUUAAAGUGGUACGCGAGCUGGGUUUAGAACGUCGUGAGACAGUUCGGUCCCUAUCUGCCGUGGGCGCUGGAGAACUGAGGGGGGCUGCUCCUAGUACGAGAGGACCGGAGUGGACGCAUCACUGGUGUUCGGGUUGUCAUGCCAAUGGCACUGCCCGGUAGCUAAAUGCGGAAGAGAUAAGUGCUGAAAGCAUCUAAGCACGAAACUUGCCCCGAGAUGAGUUCUCCCUGACUCCUUGAGAGUCCUGAAGGAACGUUGAAGACGACGACGUUGAUAGGCCGGGUGUGUAAGCGCAGCGAUGCGUUGAGCUAACCGGUACUAAUGAACCGUGAGGCUUAACCUU